rnacentral:rRNA from 1 species
UACAGAGGUCUCAAGCGUUGUUCGGAUUCAUUGGGCGUAAAGGGUGCGUAGGCGGCGCGGUAAGUCGGGUGUGAAAUCUCGGGGCUUAACUCCGAAACUGCAUUCGAUACUGCCGUGCUUGAGGACUGGAGAGGAGACUGGAAUUUACGGUGUAGCGGUGAAAUGCGUAGAUAUCGUAAGGAAGACCAGUGGCGAAGGCGGGGUCUCUGGACAGCUUCCUUGACGGCUGAGGCACGAAGGCCCAGGGGAGCAAACGGG